rnacentral:lncRNA from 1 species
UGCAAAGGGUAAAGUUUUAAACAUUCAAUGUAUGUAUACGAUUCAUCCAAGAAAGACUUGUAAUGAAACUAUGGUACGGAGGAACCUAGUCUUUUGCGUUCUAUGUGAUGUCGUGUGUACUAUUGUUUUUCUGUUUGUCUUACUCGUUUUUAGUCAUGUAUUGUCAGUUUAUUUUCGAUCUAUGAGUUUGAUGUCCCUCUGGUAUCGUUCGCCCCUCUUCUAGAACUGUUUAGCAAUGAUUUCUAUAGUAAUCACUGGUGCUUACUUCGACUUAAAGGCAACAAAGGUAAAGGGAUAACUAAGAAUAUGUAGCUAGGAAUAAAAUCCCAAUCAACUGAUAAAAGUUGAUUUAAACAGGGUGUACGCAUAAAAAUACGUCUUCCAAGAAAAAUGGAAUUUAGCGUCGCGCUGAUAGCUAGUUAAACUAAAACACAAAUGGACACAUAGGUUAUAUACUAUCUGCAUUCUCCGUUCUUAUGAAAAUAAUCAGAAUACAAAUUUUGAACUUGCGCCGAUCUGCAUUUCACUUUUUAUUCUUUUACUUGCGCCGAGUUUGACUUUCAUUUGCGCCGAUUGUGUAAAGGUAAAUUAUAGGUGAAAGGUUUUUUUUUAUUUAUCAUAAUUAUGAUCCUUUUCCGUUAUUUAGUUGUAAAAAAUUAUUAGACCAAUACGCAAUACGUUUAGAAGAUUCGAUAUACUGGCAACGAAUGCAUGUUGAGAUUAACUUAUUUCUGGAUGAUUCUCGUAAAAUAAUGUCUGAUCUUGAAUGAGGUUAAAUUUUAUUUAUUCUGC